rnacentral:piRNA from 1 species
UUUGUGAAUGACUUCUUUUCG